rnacentral:rRNA from 1 species
GAUGAACGCUAGCGGGAGGCUUAACACAUGCAAGUCGAGGGGUAACAGGUCACUUCGGUGACGCUGACGACCGGCGCACGGGUGAGUAACGCGUAUGCUAACCUACCGUUUUUACAGGGGAAUAGCCCAGAGAAAUUUGGAUUAAUACCCCAUGGUUCCAUGAAUUCGCAUGGUUUUUAUGGAUAAAGUUUCGGCGGUAAAAGAUGGGCAUGCGUGACAUUAGCUUGUUGGUAAGGUAACGGCUUACCAAGGCGACGAUGUCUAGGGGUUCUGAGAGGAUUAUCCCCCACACUGGUACUGAGACACGGACCAGACUCCUACGGGAGGCAGCAGUGAGGAAUAUUGGUCAAUGGGCGAGAGCCUGAACCAGCCAUCCCGCGUGCAGGAUGACAGCCCUAUGGGUCGUAAACUGCUUUUAUAUACCAAGAAACCCAUCUACGUGUAGAUGGCUGACGGUAGUAUAUGAAUAAGCAUCGGCUAACUCCGUG